rnacentral:lncRNA from 1 species
UGCUUUUAUCCAUGUGAGUUCACUGAAGUCACCACAAUCUCUGCUUUUUCAGAUGGGAACUGGAGGCCCAGAGAGGUUGGAGAAUGUAUGCAGGAUGACACAGCUCCUAAAUUUGGGUGUAGUAGGGCUGGGUUCCAAGGCAGCCAUCAUCAGGCGUAUGCUUUCAGCAUUCUGUCCCACCCCUCUCAUGACCUACAGCCAGGGAACCGAGGCUCCAGUGCCGGAGAGGCCCCAUGCAUUGGACAAGGAGAGGCAGGGGCAGCAGAAGAUUGAUGUAGCUGGGCAUCCUGCUGUAAAUAACAAAACCCAACUCAAGCUGGCUUCAACAGUGGAAGGUGUUAUUCAUUGUCGCAUUUGUGUGAUGCUUUGAAAGUCAGCAAACUUUCAGUGCCCCUGGCGACCGUAGGUAGAACCUCCAUACCUCUUCUGGGAAUCCUUCCAUUCUUAGUAUGAAGAAAUAGGAACAGCAGAGCUGCCUUUAGGAGCCAAGUUGGCAACUAAACCCACCUGCUUCCCGCCUUCCCAAGGCCCAGCUGACGUCAGUGGGAGCCUCACCUACAUGAGGAGGGACUAGUAUUUGCCUUGGCCUGGCUGCUGCUGUUAUCUGAAAGGCAGCAGGGGCCCCAGGCCAUGCCACCUCUUGCAGGGAUCCUGGCAGAGCAC